rnacentral:rRNA from 1 species
UACGGGGGGAGCAAGCGUUGUUCGGAUUUACUGGGCGUAAAGGGCGCGUAGGCGGCCUGCUAAGUCACACGUGAAAUCCCUCGGCUCAACCGGGGAACUGCGUGUGAUACUGGCGGGCUUGAAUUCGGGAGAGGGAUGUGGAAUUCCAGGUGUAGCGGUGAAAUGCGUAGAUAUCUGGAGGAACACCGGUGGCGAAGGCGGCAUCCUGGACCGAGAUUGACGCUGAGGCGCGAAAGCUAGGGGAGCAAACGGG